GUACUAAAAAUUUCCUUAAUUUCAGAGUAUUCGCAACCGCCAAAGAAAUGAUAAUACAAACAAGAGUAUUUGCAACCGCCAAAGAAAUGCUAAUACAAACGAGAGUAUUCGCAACCGCCAAAGAAAUGAUAAUACAAACAAG